rnacentral:rRNA from 1 species
AGAGUUUGAUCCUGGCUCAGGACGAACGUUGGCGGCGUGCUUAACACAUGCAAGUCGAGCGAGGCAUAGUGAAAAGUUUACUUUUUACUAAGUUUAGCGGCGGAGUAACGCGUGGAUAAUCUGCCUGUAAGACAGGGAUAACGCCGGGAAACCGGUGCUAAUACCGGAUAAACUCUUUGGACCGCAUGGUUUAAAGAGAAAAGGUGGCCUCUUUACAAUGCUACCACUUACAGAUGAAUCCGCGUCCCAUUAGCCAGUUGGUGGGGUAAUGGCCUACCAAAGCGACGAUGGGUAGCCGGCCUGAGAGGGUGACCGGCCACACUGGAACUGAGAUACGGUCCAGACUCCUACGGGAGGCAGCAGUGGGGAAUCUUCCGCAAUGGGCGAAAGCCUGACGGAGCAACGCCGCGUGAGUGAAGAAGGUCUUCGGAUCGUAAAACUCUGUCCUUGGUGAAGAAAAAAUGACGGUAGCCAAGGAGGAAGCCCCGGCUAACUACGUGCCAGCAGCCGCGGUAAUACGUAGGGGGCGAGCGUUGUCCGGAAUUACUGGGCGUAAAGGGUGCGUAGGUGGCCUUUUAAGUUGGAUGUGAAAUACCCGGGCUUACCUGGGGGGUGCAUCCAAUACUGGGAGGCUAGAGUGCAGGAGAGGAAAGCGGAAUUCCUAGUGUAGCGGUGAAAUGCGUAGAUAUUAGGAGGAACACCAGUGGCGAAGGCGGCUUUCUGGACUGUAACUGACACUGAGGCACGAAAGCGUGGGGAGCAAACAGGAUUAGAUACCCUGGUAGUCCACGCCGUAAACGAUGAGUACUAGGUGUCGGGAUCGCGAGGUCUCGGUGCCGCAGCUAACACAAUAAGCACUCCGCCUGGGGAGUACGGUCGCAAGACUGAAACUCAAAGGAAUUGACGGGGACCCGCACAAGCAGCGGAGCAUGUGGUUUAAUUCGAAGCAACGCGAAGAACCUUACCAAGGCUUGAAAUGCAUCAGAUGCAGAGAUGUGUCCUCCCCUUCGGGGGCAAGGGAGACAGGUGGUGCAUGGUUGUCGUCAGCUCGUGUCGUGAGAUGUUGGGUUAAGUCCCGCAACGAGCGCAACCCUUAUCAUUAGUUGCCAGCGUAAAGGUGGGAACUCUGGUGAGACCGCCGGGGACAACUCGGAGGAAGGUGGGGACGACGUCAAAUCAUCAUGCCCCUUAUGUCUUGGGCUACACACGUGCUACAAUGGCCGGUACAAAGGGCUGCGAAACCGCGAGGUG